GCACCGCCCCCGGGAGGAGGGGGACGCCGGGGCGGCGCGGCGCUUCCCGCUCUUGCCCGCCCGCCUGCUGCGGCCCCCUCAGGGCGGGACGGCUUCGCCACACGAGAGGAGGAGAGAGGGAGCCCCGAACAGCGUCCCGAAAUACCCUGAAAAGGUGUAAAUGGCUGCCGGAGGGCAGGCGGCUGUGCCCCCCGUGCGCUGUUGGUGAGGAGAAAUCCCAAGCCUGCUGAUCCACAGCUACUUGUUCCCGCCCAGAUUCCCGUGUGCCAGUGCUCGUUCUUGGCUUAUGGAGCAGGAACAGACGGAGCAGUGGAAGCCCAGUAAGAUUUUCUGGAGAUGGUUCAAGAACUUUCCAAAGGAAAGCAGAGAAAAUGGGGGAUUUCUGAAUAUAAAGCAUUUCUGACAAACUACCACAUUCCUGCUUCCUCCCUUCCUUUUUCCCUAAUUAAUUAAUCUAAACCUCCUCACAUCCUACAUGAAGUUAAUCAGCAAGUUCUUCCAUGACUAGGUCCUUCAUCUCAUCUCACAGCAGUAUUUGGGCUAAACUGACUUGAUUCUCAUGGCUAUGAUGUUAGUCUCUAAGUUUAAUAUUUGUAAAUCCAGGAGCUAGAAGGAGCAAGGGAAUUAGGAAAAAGUAGCUGGAGGCCAGUCUGGGCAUGAGACUUCUCUGGUACAAACUGUUGUUUUAGGAGAACGUGCUUGAGGUGAGGAAUUUUCCAUGCCUUUUUUCCUGUUGAUCCUGCAAAACUGUAAAGAGAUUGACAUCAAAUUAUUUGAGAGUUAAACUGUUUGUGAUAAGCUUAGAUGGAGAGACAGCACAUUGUUUCACUGGAACAGCUUGUGAAGAAAAUGAAGGGAAAAUGAGUCAUCGACAUCCUCUCUGCCUCACUCUGUCUGGGGGAGUGUCAGCCUUCAGUGUUGUGAAGGGGGGGCAGGACAUAGCACCACAGUGAAAUACAUCCCAUGACCUGGGACUGAUGGCACAUGGCAUAAGGAAGUCACCUUACAUCCUUUUAUUACGUUGAUCAGCCAUACAGAACAUGACGUGAUUUGACCCUAAGCUAGCAGCGUUAGUCAUCCAGAAAGAGUGAAUUUUUGUACAUUCAGAUGUUAAAUCUUGUUUUCAUCACUGAAAACCUUAGAGGGCUAAGCAGUAAGAUAAAUAUUUGCUACUUGUCAUCCUAAGUGUUACCUUCCACACUAACAGUCAACUCAAAAUUCCUCUGGUGUCUUUUUCCAAAUCAACAACUGUCAGCUGUGAAUUAGAAGGAAAUAAUGAAGCAUUAUUUUAUACCUUAUUGCAUUUAAGGACCUUUAACCUGAAGCAAGCUUCUGUUAUCUCAAAUGGAAUAUAACUGGUUUAAACAAAACUCCUUUUGCGAUGUGGUUCCUGUAUCUCAUUUUUAUAUCUCAAAACAAACUAUCAGUCUGUCACUGGCACUUUAUGUUGAGUAAUUGUUUGUUAUGUAAUCAUCACCAGAACUAGUAAAAUUUGUGAUGUCAACCUUAA